AACGAACGCUGGCGGCAGGCUUAACACAUGCAAGUCGAGCGCCCCGCAAGGGGAGCGGCAGACGGGUGAGCAACGCGUGGGAAUCUACCCAUCUCUACGGAAUAACGCAUGGAAACGUGUGCUAAUACCGUAUACGUCCUUCGAGAGAAAGAUUUAUCGGAGAUGGAUGAGCCCGCGUUGGAUUAGCUAGUUGGUGGGGUAAAGGCCUACCAAGGCGACGAUCCAUAGCUGGUCUGAGAGGAUGAUCAGCCACACUGGGACUGAGACACGGCCCAGACUCCUACGGGAGGCAGCAGUGGGGAAUAUUGGACAAUGGGCGCAAGCCUGAUCCAGCCAUGCCGCGUGAGUGAUGAAGGCCCUAGGGUUGUAAAGCUCUUUCACCGGUGAAGAUAAUGACGGUAACCGGAGAAGAAGCCCCGGCUAACUUCGUGCCAGCAGCCGCCGUAAAAC
rnacentral:rRNA from 1 species